AGAAGCCACCCUGACACUUUGCCUCUGCGCAGUUCUCUGUAUUUAAAAGACAACGUGAAAUUCUAGGCAGCAUCGCCGGGUUCUAGGCUCGCGCACGCUAAGCCCUGUGGCAGCUCGUGACUUUAAUAGCCAAAAACUGCACAGGAGCGGUUGCAGCCACUGAAAACUGAUCCGAGGACUGCUGCAGUGACAAAGGAAGCUCUGGUGCCCCGUGCCUUGUCUUCCCAAGUGUUUCCUCGAGCCAUCGGGCAUAGCAUUUCACGUUUGACACCAAAUGAUUGUUAAAUGGUGCGUUUAACUCCCCAAGCCGCCUGGAACCAAGCAAAAAGAGCUGCCUACUAUAUAUGUUGAAUGGUUGAGGAAAAAACACUGCAAACAAGCACUGCUUACCCAAGUUCUCACAUCUAGGUCCACACCAGAUCACCAGAUCACUGGUUCUGACCUACAAAGGAUGCAGAAUCCAGCCAUUCAUCUGGGUCACCACCUCUGCCCCAUUCAGGUUUCUAUGUUUCUUGAAUAAAUUAUUUCCAUCAGC
ensembl:processed_transcript predicted gene 16283